CUGGAUAGCUCAGUCGGGUAGAGCGGCAGAUUCUCAAUCUGUUUGUCGCGGGUUCGAUUCCCGCUCCAAGA
rnacentral:tRNA from 1 species